UGGUAAGGUAACGGCUUACCAAGGCAGCGAUAGGUAGGGGUCCUGAUAGGGAGAUCCCCCACACUGGUACUGAGACACGGACCCCACUCCUACGGGAGGCAGCAGUGAGGAAUAUUGGACAAUGGGCGAGAGCCUGAUCCUGCCAUGCCGCGUGCAAGAAGACUGCCCUAUGGGUUGUAAACUGCUUUUACGGAGGAAGAACCACCCCCACGUGUGGGGGUUUGACGGUACUCUGCGAAUAAGGAUCGGCUAACUCCGUGCCAGCAGCCGCGGUAAUACGGAGGAUCCAAGCGUUAUCCGGAAUCAUUGGGUUUAAAGGGUCCGUA
rnacentral:rRNA from 1 species